CCUGAAUUCAGCGGCGGACGGGUGAGUAAUGCCUAGGAAUCUGCCUGGUAGUGGGGGAUAACGUCCGGAAACGGGCGCUAAUACCGCAUACGUCCUGAGGGAGAAAGUGGGGGAUCUUCGGACCUCACGCUAUCAGAUGAGCCUAGGUCGGAUUAGCUAGUUGGUGGGGUAAAGGCCUACCAAGGCGACGAUCCGUAACUGGUCUGAGAGGAUGAUCAGUCACACUGGAACUGAGACACGGUCCAGACUCCUACGGGAGGCAGCAGUGGGGAAUAUUGGACAAUGGGCGAAAGCCUGAUCCAGCCAUGCCGCGUGUGUGAAGAAGGUCUUCGGAUUGUAAAGCACUUUAAGUUGGGAGGAAGGGCAGUAAGUUAAUACCUUGCUGUUUUGACGUUACCAACAGAAUAAGCACCGGCUAACUUCGUGCCAGCAGCCGCGGUAAUACGAAGGGUGCAAGCGUUAAUCGGAAUUACUGGGCGUAAAGCGCGCGUAGGUGGUUCAGCAAGUUGGAUGUGAAAUCCCCGGGCUCAACCUGGGAACUGCAUCCAAAACUACUGAGCUAGAGUACGGUAGAGGGUGGUGGAAUUUCCUGUGUAGCGGUGAAAUGCGUAGAUAUAGGAAGGAACACCAGUGGCGAAGGCGACCACCUGGACUGAUACUGACACUGAGGUGCGAAAGCGUGGGGAGCAAACAGGAUUAGGAGACGCUGGUAGUCCACGCCGUAAACGAUGUCGACUAGCCGUUGGGAUCCUUGAGAUCUUAGUGGCGCAGCUCACGCGAUAAGUCGACCGCCUGGGGAGUACGGCCGCACCGCUUAGGACUCAACAUGAGUUGACGGGGGCCCGCACAAGCGGUGGAGCAUGUGGGUUUAAUUCGAAGCAACGCGAAGAACCUUACCUGGCCCUUGACAUGCUGAGACGUUUCCAGAGAUGGAAUAGUGCCGUCGGGAC
rnacentral:rRNA from 1 species